UUCCAAGAAAUACAGCUUUGAACUAGAAUUCCAUACCUUAUAAAACUCUUUUUCCAAUCUUGUUUUUGUCUGAACAUUCUCAAAUCUUCAAUUGCACCUUCAAAAUUUCUCAACCAAAAUCAGCUUCAGGCGAGAGAAACUCUUCCCAAGGUGCCCAAUUUCUUUCAACCCAUUUACGUGUACGUGCUUCGUGUUCAGUUUCUUAAUCUUUUGGACCAAAUUUCUCUAAGAAUGUUUCAUCUACUGGGAAUUAAUCUGCUUUCAAUAAUCUGCUUUUAAUUUUAAAGUGUUUGGGGAUUAGGAAGUCUAAUUCAUAACAGUUGAAUAUACGAUCCGCAAACUGCUUAAGGUAUCUGCAAACUCCUCAAUGGCAACUUGUGGUGAUGAAACUUUCCGCUUGAAGGUGCAUAAGAGGGUGGCCGAUUAAUUAAACAAUGGAGUGCGUGGUGCCGAUGGAUUGGUAUUGGUAUCCCUGGUCAACAAAUCUAUGAAAGGAGUAUCAUCCACUCAGUCAAUCAGGUACGUUAUCUGGCAUUCCCAUAGUCCCAUGGGUCUCCCUGAUGGUGUUUGUUGAUUGUUGUAUUUGCAUUAUGGACUAUUGGCUAUUGUUGUGUUUACAUUGUCUAAAUCUUAUAAAGUGUGUUAUAUUUUCUAA